CACAUGCAGUCGAACGAUACUUUCCAGCUUGCUGGGAAGGAAAGUGGCGCACGGGUGCGUAACGCGUAUGCAACCUACCUUAAUCAGGGGGAUAGCCCGAAGAAAUUCGGAUUAACACCGCAUAAAAUCACAGUAUAGCAUUAUACAAUGAUCAAAUAUUUAUAGGAUUAAGAUGGGCAUGCGUGACAUUAGCUAGUUGGCGGGGUAACGGCCCACCAAGGCUACGAUGUCUAGGGGAUCUGAGAGGAUGACCCCCCACACUGGUACUGAGACACGGACCAGACUCAUACGGGAGGCAGCAGUAAGGAAUAUUGGUCAAUGGAGGCAACUCUGAACCAGCCAUGCCGCGUGCAGGAAGACAGCCCUCUGGGUCGUAAACUGCUUUUAUUCGGGAAUAAACCUACUUACGUGUAAGUAGCUGAAUGUACCGAAGGAAUAAGGAUCGGCUAACUCCGUGCCAGCAGCCGCGGUAAUACGGAGGAUCCAAGCGUUAUCCGGAUUUAUUGGGUUUAAAGGGUGCGUAGGCGGCUUUUUAAGUCAGGGGUGAAAGACGGUAGCUCAACUAUCGCAGUGCCCUUGAUACUGAAGAGCUUGAAUGGACUAGAGGUAGGCGGAAUGUGACAAGUAGCGGUGAAAUGCAUAGAUAUGUCACAGAACAC
rnacentral:rRNA from 1 species